GGAAAGGUUAAGAUCGGGAGUGCGUCGUUGUGAUAUUGUAUUGUCGAUAUUGAUUUUUGGUUACGAUAAUCAUUAUUAAAAGUACCCAAAACCAUCAACAGAAUCAUAAAACGCCAUGGAAAGUAGUCCCUUGAAAUUUAUUUUAGCCCCUUACCAUACUAGAAGUGCUUUUCGAUGCUGUGAUUUUUUCGCUGGCAUUUUUUCUUUCAUGUAUUCUCCUUUUAGGACAUGACCGUCGCGCGGCGUCAUCUUUUUUUCUCUUUUGAUUUCCUUCACUGAGUACACCAGAGGAGGAUAGAGGGCACUUUACUACACUGCCUGAUGCUGGUUUCUCCGUAAGCUGUGAUUUGUUCUUCAAAUUAGCUUUCAGGCUCGAGAGGCCUUGCAGGAAGAGUGUGCCAUUUCCACCUCUGGCAUCGCCCCGACUAUUCUCGGUUCUCACAUCUAAGUUCCUCUCAUCCUGCCGCAGUGCGGGCUUUUGUGAAGAGGUCUUGCGCAGGAGUGACGGUGGUAUCUGCUGGACGAAUUGCUCCUGAAAAAAUGGGGAUUUUUCCGGAUAAUUACUUUUGUUGAGCAAUUCACUCAUUCAGCAGCGUCGAUGAUAGAACUUUGUUUGUUUGUUUUUUUUUCCGGUGUAUAAACGUUACUUGGUUAUCGUUUUUUAUAACCGUUAUUCAGUGUAAUUAUCAUUGAAUUCAACGUCACUACUUGGACAACGUCUUCCUAAAGGGGAGGAAGCGGGAAAGCCGGCCAGACUGGCCUAGUGGUCAGCGCGUCUGACUUAAGGACCAUAAACCUCGGAUUCAAAUCCUGGGAGUGGCGUCUUUUCACGGAACUGAUGAGUGGAUCUGCAGAAACAGAUUCUACUCGGCCUUAAUCUCUGUUAAAUUUGAAAAGCCUGGAGCAUGGAUGGGCCAAAAAUCCCUCUGAUUAUAACGGACAGUAAAUCUUUAUAAUAAGUCGUAAUCUGUAAAAUAAGUCCUUAAACGUAUGUGUAGAUGGCUGUGGAUUCCUAACCUACUAAAUAAAAAGGAAUAGAUGCCAAAUAAAUUGCAAAGCGGGG
rnacentral:lncRNA from 1 species